rfam:Salmo salar isolate Sally breed double haploid chromosome ssa14, whole genome shotgun sequence.
AAUGCACCAAUUUGUAAGUUGCUCUGGAUAAGAGCGUCUGCUAAAUGUAAAUAU